UACGGAGGGAGCUAGCGUUGUCCGGAAUCAUUGGGCGUAAAGCGCGCGUAGGCGGCCCGGUAAGUCCGUUGUGAAAGUCAAAGGCUCAACCUUUGAAUGCCGAUGGAAACUGGCGGGCUUGAGUGUGGCAGAGGGGGGUGGAAUUCCGCGUGUAGCAGUGAAAUGCGUAGAGAUGCGGAGGAACACCGAUGGCGAAGGCAGCCCCCUGGGCUAACACUGACGCUCAGGCACGAAAGCGUGGGGAGCAAACAGG
rnacentral:rRNA from 1 species